rnacentral:rRNA from 1 species
ACCGAACGCUGGCGGCGGGCCUAAUACAUGCAAGUCGAACGACAUAGUGGCAAACGGGUGAGUAACGCGUGGGAACGUACCUUUCUCUACGGAAUAGCUCUUGGAAACGAGUGGUAAUACCGUAUACGCCCUCCGGGGGAAAGAUUUAUCGGCGAAAGAUCGGCCCGCGUUAGAUUAGGUAGUUGGUGGGGUAAUGGCCUACCAGGCCUACGAUCUAUAGCUGGUCUGAGAGGAUGAUCACCCUCACUGGGACUGAGACACGGCCCAGACUCCUACGGGAGGCACCAGUGGGGAAUCUUGCACAAUGGGCAAAAGCCUGAUGCACCCAUGCCGCGUGAAUGAUGAAGGCCUUAGGGUUGUAAAAUUCUUUCGCCAGGGAUGAUAAUGACAGUACCUGGUAAAGAAGCCCCGGCUAACUUCGUGCCACCAGCCGCGGUAAUAC